CGUGUAGGCGGCCAGACAAGUCAGAUGUGAAAGCCCGGGGCUCAACCCCGGAAGUGCAUUUGAAACUGUUUGGCUUGAGUGCGGGAGAGGAAAGCGGAAUUCCCAGUGUAGAGGUGAAAUUCGUAGAUAUUGGGAGGAACACCGGUGGCGAAGGCGGCUUUCUGGACCGACACUGACGCUGAGGCGCGAAAGCGUGGGGAGCAAACA
rnacentral:rRNA from 1 species